rnacentral:rRNA from 1 species
UGGUGGAGUGAUUUGUCUGGUUAAUUCCGUUAACGAACGAGACCUCGACCUGCUAAAUAGUACUCGUUAUCUUCGGAUAGUCGAGUUACUUCUUAGAGGGACUAUCGGCGGUGUACCCGAUGGAAGUUCGAGGCAAUAACA